AACGCGAAGAACCUUACCUGGGUUUGACAUCCACUGACUGCCAUAGAGAUAUGGCUUCCCCUUCGGGGGCAGUGAGACAGGUGCUGCAUGGCUGUCGUCAGCUCGUAUCGUGAGAUGUCGGGUUAAGUCCCUUAACGAGCGCAACCCUUGUCCCUAGUUGCCAUCAUUCAGUUGGGCACUCUAGGGAGACCGCCGGUGUUAAACCGGAGGAAGGUGGGGAUGACGUCAAGUCCUCAUGGCCUUUAUAUCCAGGGCUACACACGUGCUACAAUGGCAGAUACAAAGGGUUGCUAACCCGCGAGGGGGAGCUAAUCUCAGAAAGUCUGUCUCAGUUCGGAUUGAAGUCUGCAACUCGACUUCAUGAAGCUGGAAUCGCUAGUAAUCGCGGAUCAGAACGCCGCGGUGAAUACGUUCCCGGGCCUUGUACACACCGUAGUAC
rnacentral:rRNA from 1 species